rnacentral:rRNA from 1 species
UGAAGGAAUUCGGCAAAUUUAUUCCUUGCCUGUUUAUUAAAAACAUGGCCUUUUGAUGAUGAUUUAAGGUCUGGCCUGCCCAAUGAUUAAUUUAACGGCCGCGGUACUCUGACCGUGCAAAGGUAGCAUAAUCAUUAGUUUUUUAAUUGAAAGCUGGAAUGAACGGUCGGACAAGGGAAUAACUGUCUUUAUCUAAUUAGUAGAAUUUUAUUUUUUAGUCAGAAAGCUUAAAUGGGUUUGAGGGACGAGAAGACCCUAUAGAAUUUUAUAAGUUUUUUUUGUAUUGAUUUUCGGGUUUGUUGAGUUUAUUUGGAAAGGACUUAUUUUGUUGGGGUGAUGGAAAAAUUUAAGAAACUUUUUUUUUUGAGUUUCACUGAUUUGUGAAUAAUUGAUCCACGAUUUGUGAUUAUAAGAUUAAAUUACCUUAGGGAUAACAGCGUAAUUGGUUUGGAGAGUUCAUAUCGAUAAACUAGUUUGCGACCUCGAUGUUGGAUUAAAAUGAACUUAUGGUGUAGGGGCUAUGAAGUUAAGUCUGUUCGACUUUUAAAAUUUUACAUGAUCUGAGUUUAAACCGGCGUGAGCCAGGUUGGUUUCUAUCUUU